rnacentral:lncRNA from 1 species
UGCUGGUGCAUAAAGGUUUAUUUUCUAUUAUGGUCCAUGAAUGCCUAAUAGUUUUCGGAAAAGAAAAACUUUCCUCAUCUCCAACAUGAGUUUGGACACACAAAAAUAAACCACUAAUUUUGUGUUAUCUACAACUAGAAGUACAAUUCUGGACGCUUUAUUGUGUCCAAAAAAGUAUAUUUCCGAAACACAUGUGAAGUUUGUUAGUAGCAACAGGGAGAAGAGUACCGUCCAUAACUUUUGGAUGGAUCUCACAGAAAAUGUAGUUUAGCAGAAAUGGCUUGAUCUAUCACCAACAAUCGAUGAUCUAAUGGUUCCUGCAUUGUUAGAUGGUAAAACGAAUUAGUAACAUUGUAAUACACACAAGAAACUUAUUUUGUGUGCAACAAGAUUAAGUUUUAUGGAGCACCACAGAUGUUGAAUAUAAAACAUGGGAAGAAGGAACAAUAAAAGAAGGGAAAACACUAACACAAUCAAGAGUCCACUAAUUGAGCCUUAUUUCAUGCCUGGCAUAUUGCAAUUCAAGACAAAU